UACGUAGGGUGCGAGCGUUAAUCGGAAUUACUGGGCGUAAAGCGUGUGCAGGCGGUCUGUUAAGACAGGUGUGAAAUCCCCGGGCUUAACCUGGGAAUUGCACUUGUUACUGGCAGACUAGAGUGCGUCAGAGGGAGGUGGAAUUCCACGUGUAGCAGUGAAAUGACGUAGAGAUGUGGAGGAACACCGAUGGCGAAGGCAGCCUCCUGGGAUGACACUGACGCUCAUACACGAAAGCGUGGGGAGCAAACAGG
rnacentral:rRNA from 1 species